UGGCAACACAUCAGUCCUCCUAUAGUCACUACCGCGUUUCUCAACCAUGCACACCACUGCGCUUAUUAACUGUCCCACAACUAUAACAACCUGCUAUUUUCUGAAACACAAGUUCUGAAUCACCAAAGGAACCACCAAACCGAGGCCACACACCGGAAAUGCAGGACGCAAUCUAUGUGGUGAGGAUGGGGGGAAGGUAGUCCGACUUGGUGCCGAGGAUGCGGGCCCGGGUGUCGGGGAAGAACUCCAUGCCAGGCAGCUCCGUCACCACGCCGUCGUUGGCGACACCAAUGGGGUAGCUCAGCAGGUGGCCGGGGAGGUCCUGCUCCAGGUCGUCGCUGGAGUAUAAGUCCCAGUACUUGUCGGCGAUCCUGUUCACCUUCUGGACACA
rnacentral:lncRNA from 1 species